CACGCUAGACAUGGGGACGAAGUGCCAAAAUGGUGCUUCAUCUUGGUUUGUGGGUUGUCAAACUUGACAAAUCAAUUAGUUGUUCACCAGGUCAUUUU